ACGAACUCUGGUAUUGAUUGGUGCUUGCAUCAUGAUUUACAUUUGACUGUGUGGCGAACUGGUGAGUAACACGUGGGAAACCUGCCCACAAGCGGGGGAUAACACCUGGAAACAGAUGCUAAUACCGCAUAACAACUUGGACCGCAUGGUCCGAGUUUGAAAGAUGGCUUCGGCUAUCACUUUUGGAUGGUCCCGCGGCGUAUUAGCUAGAUGGUGGGGUAACGGCUCACCAUGGCAAUGAUACGUAGCCGACCUGAGAGGGUAAUCGGCCACAUUGGGACUGAGACACGGCCCAAACUCCUACGGGAGGCAGCAGUAGGGAAUCUUCCACAAUGGACGAAAGUCUGAUGGAGCAACGCCGCGUGAGUGAAGAAGGGUUUCGGCUCGUAAAACUCUGUUGUUAAAGAAGAACAUAUCUGAGAGUAACUGUUCAGGUAUUGACGGUAUUUAACCAGAAAGCCACGGCUAACUACGUGCCAGCAGCCGCGGUAAUACGUAGGUGGCAAGCGUUGUCCGGAUUUAUUGGGCGUAAAGCGAGCGCAGGCGGUUUUUUAAGUCUGAUGUGAAAGCCUUCGGCUCAACCGAAGAAGUGCAUCGGAAACUGGGAAACUUGAGUGCAGAAGAGGACAGUGGAACUCCAUGUGUAGCGGUGAAAUGCGUAGAUAUAUGGAAGAACACCAGUGGCGAAGGCGGCUGUCUGGUCUGUAACUGACGCUGAGGCUCGAAAGUAUGGGUAGCAAACAGGAUUAGAUACCCUGGUAGUCCAUACCGUAAACGAUGAAUGCUAAGUGUUGGAGGGUUUCCGCCCUUCAGUGCUGCAGCUAACGCAUUAAGCAUUCCGCCUGGGGAGUACGGCCGCAAGGCUGAAACUCAAAGGAAUUGAC
rnacentral:rRNA from 1 species